GGGGCCGUAGCUCAGCCUGGUUAGAGCGUCCGCCUGAUAAGCGGGAGGUCGCCGGUUCAAAUCCGGCCGGCCCCA
rnacentral:tRNA from 1 species